GGGGAUAAGCUGCCAAGAGCACUUAAGAUGUAGACUAGAUGCAGUAACUAAUUACCAAAUAAAAUUAGAGAUCAACUUGAGUAAGUUUUGUUUGUUAUAUAUUUGUGUUAUAUAAAGCUCAACAGAAAUAUAUUUAUUCACAGUUUCUAAAUAAAACGAGUACAGUGAAAUAGAUUAUGUUGAUUAAAGAAUCACUAAACAGGAUUCCUUACAUGUGUAUUUACUAUUAAUAUUUAGUGAAAGUAAAAGUAGCAUAUCAUCCCAUGGUCAGAGGCAGCAAUCAGUUCUGGGGAUUGAUAUACUCUCAAACCAGUAAUAGUGCAUUAAUAUAUAUUGUGAGGUAGAUAUAUAUGGCCUUAAAAUUUCUAGUUGAUCCUUGUAGCCUCUAGGAGAACACAUAUAUAGUCAUGAUCAGUUGUGCCUGGUGCAUAUAAAAAAUUUGACAUGCAAAUAUAUAUAUUUAUCAUAUAUAUAUAUUAAGUUUAUCACAUGCUUCGACUUUUAUCACAUGCCUUUCCCAGGGGGGGGAUCCAGUCAUUUUAAAAAGGGGGGUUCCCAACACAGGAUAAAGGCAACUGGGGUCUGCUCGACAGUCCGACAGUUCUAUAGUCCUACGGUUUAAUAGUCCGACGGUUUAAUAGUCCGACAGUUCUAUAGUCAAACGGUAUAAUAGUCCGACAGUUCUAUAGUCCGGCGGUUUAAUAGUCCGACAGUUCUAUAGUCCGAUAGUCCGACAUAUACAACCAGAUAUGAUAUAGACUAAUCUCAGGCAUUAGACGUUCUACCUGGGUUCAGACCUAACAUUUCCAAAACUGAAUCCCUGUUAUUGUUUUUAAAUUAUUUCAAAGACAAUCCCACUCCACACCAUUGUGUAGAUAAAUCAAUUUAGAUUAACGGCAUAAUAAGUUUAAGUAGGUUUUGCAACCAAGAAAUCGAAAUAAAACGGAAUUUCGCGACCAGGUGACAUUUUUCUAAAAUUUUAGUUAAGUACCUUGUGUUAUAUUAAGGUAUAUAUGAUUUUUUUUCUGAGACAAGUGCCUGUCCUUGGAUGCCCCCCUUCCGAAAACUAUGUCUGACAUAAAUGAUCUCUGACCAUCACAGCUGAACUUAGCUAAACAUAGGAUCCAAUGGAAAAUUCACAUAAAGGAUCUUCUUGUCUGGAACCAGUGGAAAUUAGGACGAAAUUUUGGUUGAAUGGUCCUUAGCUAUAGGUGGUCCCCUUCAAAAAAUAUUUCCUACAUCCUCAACCUGCGAACAAGAUAACCUCCACAAUAAAACUUAGUUUAAUACCGGCGUCACACAUUAGUGUAUAGCUCCGAUGUACGCCGGGUGUGGUGCAAAAUCCUGUACCCUGCCAAUACGCUAGUAAUUUUGGAUGCAUUAAUUCAACCUGUCAAUCAUAUCUGGAUCCUGUGCACACCGAGCAUUAAGCAUGUAUUGGACGUAAGUGAAGCGUACCAAAGUGUUAUUGGGCGGUGAAGUAACGUAUGUUGGGGUAUAUCUGGCAUUUGUCUAACGCCCGACAAACACUUUGGUACACUUCUCAUACGUCCAAUACAUGCUUAUAGCUCGUUGUGCACACGUUACAGAUAUGAUUGACAGGUUGAAUGCAUCCAAAAUUACUAGCUUGUUGGCAGCAUACAUAAUGUUUUAACACGCCCGGCGUAAGUCGGAGCUAUACGCUGAUGUGAGACGCUGGUAUUACAAACACCCCAUAAUAGAACGUCUAAGAUACAACCAGGACGUGUUUCAAAUACAUUCAAGAAACUUUUUUCCUUCGUAGCGUGCAUUCCAUCUACGUAAGACAAACGCCAUUAAUACGCCAACAUAUGUUACUUGAACGCCCGAUACACACCUAUAUACCCUUCUUGUACGCAUUAUACAUGCUUAAAGCUUGUUGUACAUACGAUACAGAUAUGAUUGACAAGUUGAAUGCAUCCAAAAUUACUAGCGUAUUGGCACCGUACAUAAUUAUUUACCACCCCCGGGUGUACGUCGGAGCUAUAUGCUGAUGUGUGACGCAGUUAUUAUGCAAUGCGCAUUAAAUGAUUGCUUAGCGUUCCUCAGGCGUGCAACUAAUGUGUACGGCCUUGGUCAAUUUUCUCUGUAUGUCUGGUGCACGCCUGUCUAUACGUCAAUGUGUGAAGCCGACAUAACAUAGGACCAUAUGAGAAAUUCACUUACAUAUUUCAUUGUCUGAAACAACUUAGCAAAAUGGAACCAUACUUGGCAGCAAUGGUCCUUGGGUGGUCCUGUUUCAGAAAAGAGUCCAAUGAUCGGGACCGCCGACCAAGAUGGCUGCCACACUGAACUUAGUAAUAUUUUACCCUUUAGGAAAUAACUUAAAGAUUUUGUUGUCUGAAACCAAAGAGCCAAUUUUAACUCUGGCUUACAAAUGAUGUCUUGAACAUGUAAGAAACAGCCAUCUUAAAAAUGAAAUAAUGCAGCAUUUGUAAGCUAGGGGGCAGCACUAGUCAGUCAAAUGAGUACUGUGAAUACGUGAGAACAGUCAUGUGUGACCAGAACUGACUUUAAAUGUGGAUUGAAUGAGGUCAAUUUAUUUACUUGCAGGUGAAUAAUUCAUCAGCAUUGUUUCUUUGUCUAUUUUGACAAAAUUGAACCAUUAUUUCACUGUUUGAUUUUCAUAAAUGAUUGAACCAUAACAAAAAAUGUUAACUGAUUUAUUCCUUUUCGCUAAUGUCCUUUUAAUUUACCCCUGUCCAUGCUCUGUUCGGUAUUAUUUUGGGUACAUGGUUGUUUGUCAAAAUGUUUAUGAUAGGACUUUCUUGGGUAGUCGAGUCAAGUUCUGCUGUAUAUCUUUCAUUGUGAACUUCAUUGAUACAUACACAGGAAAAUAAUUGCUGUCUUGUUUACUUUCAGAUUCACAAUUGUAUAAUGUAUACAUGAAAACUACAUCACAAUGGAGAAAAGGCAUCAAGAAUCUUUACGUAAAAACUGGGUUUUUCUUAUGGAUAGUUUAAUUUUGGAAGAUCUGCUUGACUUAAUGAUAGAAAAAGAAAUUUUUACACCAAGUAUGGGAGAAGAAGUUAGUGUGAAACAUACAAAAAAGGAUAAAGCUACACAGUUUUUAUUCACCUUAAUAAGACGAGGACCUAAAGCUUUUGACACAUUUGUUGAAUGUUUGAAUGAAUCCUCUCAAGACUUUAUAGCUGACAAAUUAAUUUCAACUUUGAAUGAAGAACCAAUGCAGCAAUAGUAUAUAAACAUUUGUUUUGUAAUAUUUAACCAUAGCUUGACUUCCAUAUAUUGACAAUUUACAUAACUCUUUUUAAUACAAUCAUACAUAAAAUUCUGUACAAAAGUAUUAUUUGUAUGUUUUAAUUUUUGUCUCUCACACAAAGAAUGUCAAGGGACACACUUUAUUCAGAUACCACUGGAAUUUGUAAGAACCUUGUUAUUUUAUAUUUCUCAAGCCCCCUGUUAUUUUUCAGGAGAAUGUAGUGAUUGCUUUGUCAAUCUGUCCUUUCUGUCUGUGCUACCAUUCACCUUUUUGGCCAUCUGAAUAUUUUGAAAUAUAUUGUUUCUUGAUGGUAACUUAAAUUUCCCUAUUACUUAUUGUUUUUUUUUUGUCAAAACUAGAGCAGUAACUUUUUUAUAAGUUGGUUUCCUUGAAAAUUGUAAAAAA
rnacentral:lncRNA from 1 species